rnacentral:rRNA from 1 species
UACAGAGGGUGCGAGCGUUGUCCGGAAUCACUGGGCGUAAAGGGCGCGUAGGUGGCCCGACAAGUCCGUGGUGAAAGCUCGACGCUCAACGUCGAGUCGGCCAUGGAUACUGUGGGGCUGGAGCACUGUAGAGGCUCAUGGAAUUCCGGGUGUAGCGGUGGAAUGCGUAGAGAUCCGGAAGAACACCGGUGGCGAAGGCGGUCUGCUGGGGUGAGGCUGACGCUGAUGCGGCGACAGCGUAGGGGAGCAAACGAGG